AGUUUGAUCAUGGCUCAGAACGAACGCUGGCGGCAGGCCUAACACAUGCAAGUCGAGCGAGGACUUCGGUCCUAGUGGCGGACGGGUGAGUAACGCGUGGGAACGUGCCCUUUGGUACGGAAUAGCCCCGGGAAACUGGGAGUAAUACCGUAUGGUGUCUUCGGACUAAAGAUUUAUCGCCAAAGGAUCGGCCCGCGUUGGAUUAGGUAGUUGGUGGGGUAAUGGCCUACCAAGCCGACGAUCCAUAGCUGGUUUGAGAGGAUGAUCAGCCACACUGGGACUGAGACACGGCCCAGACUCCUACGGGAGGCAGCAGUGGGAAUCUUAGACAAUGGGGGCAACCCUGAUCUAGCCAUGCCGCGUGAGUGAUGAAGGCCCUAGGGUUGUAAAGCUCUUUCAGCUGGGAAGAUAAUGACGGUACCAGCAGAAGAAGCCCCGGCUAACUCCGUG
rnacentral:rRNA from 1 species